rnacentral:rRNA from 1 species
UACAGAGGUCUCGAGCGUUAGGCGGAAUCACUGGGCUUAGAGCGUGUGUAGGCGGAUCGGUAAGUACCUUGUGAAAUCCCACAGCUUAACUGUGGAACUGCUUGGUAUACUGCCAGUCUUGAGCCACUUAGGGGCUACCGGAACAAAUGGUGGAGCGGUGAAAUGCGUAGAUAUCAAGAGGAACACCAGUGGCGAAGGCGAAUCUCUGGACAAUUCCUGACACUGAUGCUCGAAAGCUAGGGGAGCAAACGGG